rnacentral:lncRNA from 1 species
AGGGUGGUGGGCAGGGGGCCCACUCAUACAAGAGCUGCACAGCACCAUCUGCCCAGCCUCAUGACAGGCCGAUGAGUGCCAAUGCGAGCCUGGCUCCAGGGCAACGGGUCCAGAAUCUUCACGCUUACCAGCCGGGCCGCCUUGGCUAUGAGCAGCAGCAGCAAGCACUUCAAGGCCGGCACCACACCCAGGAAACACUCCACUACCAGAACCUCGCCAAGUACCAACACUAUGGACAGCAAGGCCAGGGCUACUGUCCAGCGGACACAGCUGUCAGGACUCCGGAACAGUAUUACCAGACCUUCAGCCCUAGCUCCAGCCACUCCCCUGCACGCUCCGUGGGUCGCUCCCCUUCCUACAGCUCCACCCCGUCACCACUGAUGCCCAAUCUGGAGAACUUCCCUUAUA